GCGUUGUUCGGAUUUACUGGGCGUAAAGGGCGCGUAGGCGGCGUGGUAAGUCACUUGUGAAAUCUCUGAGCUUAACUCAGAACGGCCAAGUGAUACUGCUGUGCUAGAGUGCAGAAGGGGCAAUCGGAAUUCUUGGUGUAGCGGUGAAAUGCGUAGAUAUCAAGAGGAACACCUGAGGUGAAGACGGGUUGCUGGGCUGACACUGACGCUAAUGCACGAAAGCGUGGGGAGCAAACAGG
rnacentral:rRNA from 1 species